AUUGAACGCUGGCGGAAUGCUUUACACAUGCAAGUCGAACGGCAGCACGGACUUCGGUCUGGUGGCGAGUGGCGAACGGGUGAGUAAUGUAUCGGAACGUGCCCAGUCGUGGGGGAUAACGUAGUGAAAAUUACGCUAAUACCGCAUACGAUCUAUGGAUGAAAGCGGGGGAUCGCAAGACCUCGCGCGAUUGGAGCGGCCGAUAUCAGAUUAGGUAGUUGGUGGGGUAAAGGCCCACCAAGCCAACGAUCUGUAGCCGGUCUGAGAGGACGACAAGACAGACUGGAACUGAGAAACGGUCCAGACUCCUACGGGAGGCAGCAGUGGGGAAUUUUGGACAAUGGGCGAAAGCCUGAUCCAGCCAUUCCGCGUGCAGGAUGAAGGCCCUCGGGUUGUAAACUGCUUUUGUACAGAACGAAAAGGUUUCUACUAAUACUAGGAGCUCAUGACGGUACUGUAAGAAUAAGCACCGGCUAACUACGUGCCAGCCGCCGCAGUAA
rnacentral:rRNA from 1 species